AGCCAUGAUGUGAGCAUGAAUUCAAAAGAUCAUUGAAUCUCUCUCAACAUUGGAAGAAGGUCUCUUCCUCUUUCUGAGAUAAAUUUAUGAUCUCCCUCCUUAGGAU